rnacentral:tRNA from 1 species
ACCCGUCUAGCUCAGUCGGUAGAGCGCUGGCCUUUUAACCCUCUACGCGUGGGUUCGAGCCCCACGGGGGGUG